AGAGGAAUAGCUGGAUCAAAUGGUAGUUCCAUCCCUAGAUUUUCAAGGAAUCUCCAUAUUUCUUUCCAUAUUGACUGCACCAAUUUGUAGUCCCACUAGCAAU
rnacentral:pre_miRNA from 1 species